UGUACCUACGGGGCGCAGCAGUGGGGGAUACUGCACAAUGGGGGAAACCCUGAUGCAGCGACGCCGCGUGUGAGAAGACGGUCCUCUGGAUUGUAAACCACUGUCCCCAGGGACGAAGAUGACGGUACCUGGGGAGGAAGCUCCGGCUAACUACGUGCCAGCAGCCGCGGUAAUACGUAGGGAGCAAGCGUUGUCCGGAAUUACUGGGUGUAAAGGGAGCGUAGGCGGGAUGGCAAGUUGGGUGUUAAAUCUACCGGCUCAACUGGUAGUCGCACUCAAAACUGCUAUUCUUGAUUGAA
rnacentral:rRNA from 1 species